rnacentral:rRNA from 1 species
UACAGAGGCCCCAAGCGUUACUGAGAAUCACUGGGUUUAAAGGGUGCGUAGGUGGCGCGUUAAGUCCGUUGUGAAAUCCCUUGGCUCAACCAAGGAAAUGCUUCGGAUACUGGCGUGCUUGAGGCCGGUAAGGGUCACUGGAACUGACGGUGGAGCGGUGAAAUGCGUAGAUAUCGUCAGGAACGCCAAUGGUGAAGACAGGUGACUGGGCCGUUACUGACGCUGAGGAGGCGAAAGCGUGGGGAGCGAACAGG